rnacentral:lncRNA from 1 species
UGCUUUACGUGCUCUGGAAAUAUCAGUCAUUUUACAAAUGAAAAAGAAAUCAAGAUUUCAUGUUUCACCAUGCUUGGGUUGCUAUCAAACAUAGCAACACCAAAAAAUCAAAUCCAGUGAAGGAGAAUUACCAAAUACAAGGUCAAGAUUCCACCAUAUUAUCAAAAUUGACAUUUGACCGUCAUUAGUAGCAUUAAUUGUUUUGUAGCGUACAGAGCCACACAAAACACUAAGACUAAAGAAAUCAAAGAUGAAAACAAACACCAUAUCACAUUAAACAUUUUCAAACACGGCUCUAAGAUAUAAAAAUCAUGAUCAAUCUCAACAGUAUCCAGUUUGCGAUUUGGGAAAAGAAACUGAAAAAACCAAUCAUUCAAUCAUCUUUCAGCCAAAGAAACAAACCAUAUCUCACCCAAAUGGGGGAAAAGAAAAAACAAAAGAAUGAAUCAUAAAUCACAAAUCAAUUUUGGUAUACAAAUUACUAGUCAUGGUUAUAACUAAAUACAACAUCUCAAGUGAACGAACCUCAACAAAUUAUGAAACGAAACACGAAACAAUCAGCAGUAGCUCAAGUUAUUGGUUUUUAUUCUCUGCAAAAACAGAACAAACCAGAGAAAUGAGAGACAAAAACAGCAGCGAUAUUUACAUAACUCAAGCACAUUAACAAAAACAUGGGAACGAGGAAAAAGAAAUGAACUUUAAACCAAAUUCAUAAAACCGAAACGAAAAAUGGAACUUUUUUGUUCGAUUUUUUGUUCUGCUGAGAGAUUUUGUUGACAAAAACAAAAGAACCCAGAAAUGCUAAAGAGGAAGAGAGAGAAAUCAAUACGUGAUCGUAGUGUUAAAAAAAAAAAAAACCUCACAACAGUAGUCAGAUGGCAGCAGGGGAGCACCGUGACAGCAGCAACAAUUGAUAGUAGGUGACAGCGGCAAGUGACAGUGGCAGCAGCAGCAGAUGACAGCGGCUACAGCAGGUGGUAGCGGCGGCGGAGAGUCGUGAAGGACAAGCAGCAGCAGCAGCGGGGACGAGAUUCCAGCGGCUGAAGGUGCUGCGGCUUCGGUUUUCGGCUGAAGAUCAGAAGAAAUGAAGAAUGUGUUUAGUUUAGAC